UCUCCAGUGCUGGCCAUAUAUCUGAUGGUGACUCAUCGCUAAUAACAGCACAGUAAGUGAAUCCAAUUUCACAAGUCUUCAGUGCUGCUUCUUUCAUAGGGAAUUUGAAAAACUGUUCGGUCUUUAAUCUUUCUAUGUGUGCCGUGCACAGAUAUUCUCCCCAUGUUCUUGUUUAUCAUUGCUACUUUCUGUUGUUUUAUAUACUUGCUAGAUUUGGUUAAUACAUUUCUUUUAAAUAUCUACUUGAUAGUUUCCUAACAGAUAUUCUCAGUUGAAAAUUUCAACCCAUUCAAUGUUAUUUGAUUAUAUAUAAUAUGCAAAAUUCUGUAUUUGUUUUCCAUAUCAAAGUACUUUCUUUGUCCAAAAAUUGUUGAGAUGAACAAUAGUCAAUAACAGUCGGAAUUAUCAUUCAAAAUUUCAUGGAUUUUGUUUUCUACUGGUUUUCUGGUGGAGUAUGGAUUAAUUUUCUUGAUAUUCCAAACCUAUCUACAGUAGUGACAAAGUUGACUACAAUGAAACAUCUAGUGUGGGUAUGGUUUAUCAUCUUAAGUUUAAACAUUGUUUGUACUGAAUGAACAAGUGGAAUUCAACUCUAGAUCUUAAGCCCUUCCACUCUUGGUUGUAUUUCAGUCUGUUUUCAUGUUGUAAGCUUUUUACUCUUAUUUGAUUGGAAGUUCCCUUUCUGAUCUAAAGCGAGUACUGAAAGAAAAAUGCCAUUGUCAGUGAUGAAUUUAUGGAAACAAGUUGAACAACUCUGUCUCUUUCUCUCUCUAAAAUUUUCCAAAAAAUAUUGGACUGCCAAAGCGUAAGUGCAAUUCAACUUUUGUUGCUCUUUUAAGGGGUUUUUUUUUUGAAAGAGAAACAUCUUGCACAAAGACAAAUGAGAAGCCUAAAAGUCUAUAAUGUUUGAUCACAUUUAUUUGUUUAGAAAAUCCAUUUUUUAUGGUUUGUUUUUGAACCUAAUAGGCUUGCAUGGAUUUGCUGCAGAAUCCCGAUUCUGAAGUAUAUCAAUAUAGCUCUCUGGUCUUCAUUCUAUGGAUGAGAUUCAUCCUUCUAAACUUCCAUCUUUACCAUGAUUGUCCUCCUUUUAAGUUGGUUUUAGUCUCAGAAUUUAAGGCUGUUGAUUGUGCCUGGUGCUUAGUGAAUAGUUCAUUAUACAUUUUCUUUACAAUUAUAUAUGAAAGUCAUGCUUUGAAAAUGUGAAUGGUGAAUGGUAAACAGGGAAUACUGAUAAGUGAUUUGUCCCGCUACAAAACUACCUGAAAAUGUGAACGUUUUUUAUUAGGUUUUUUUUUAUGAUAGGAUACCGAAGUCUCUGAUGUAAAAUACAUUUCUUUUGGGGUAUAUAGAAGUCACCUAGCUGAAGCAGAUCCUAAAUAUGUUCCUUAUGAUGUAAAUAAACAAUAUGGUCUUCUCUUUGAUAUAAUUACAAAAAGUUAAGCUGAGUAACUACGACCAUGUUGUUGAACAAAAUAAUUGUCAAAUUAAUCUAAAUGUUAUAUUCAUGUUGACAUUUCAUGUUGUGGUUAACGGUUCAAAUACUUGCUUAAAGGUACAAAGAGAACAAUGAAGCACGCAGUCUAAUACUACAAAAGCAACUUCGUCGAUAUGCUCCUGUUUCUCUCACUGCAGAGGUUGUCAACUUUCUGCAAUUUUAAUACCAGCUACCCUGCUUUAUUGGUUGUUAUAUUUUCAAUCCAUCUCAAUAUUUUUAUCCUCAAGCUUUAUGUAGUCAGUUUGCAUGUAGACAUUGUCUGAUAUGAGCAGAAUGCGUUGUGUUGUAUCCUAUGGACACUUUUGGUUUCACGUUCAUUAAUUUGUUAGUUUACAGGUGGAUGGUCUUUCUAUCACUUUUAAGUUUAUAAAAGAUCCAUUGCUUUCUUUUUGUUGCUUUGCUAGAACCAUUGGUGCAUUAAUUUCUGAUGCUAAUGCCAUCUGUUUUGUGUUCAUAGGGUUCAAUAUUUUCAAUAAACAAUUAGCAUUUGGCAUAAAUUUACUCUGAAAAAUGGUGUUAUAUUUUUCAUUGUAAGUUCAUAGUUGUAUUGACUUUGGCCUGCAAUAUGCACUACUUUGUUAGUAAGCAAAGUACAGGACGUUGUUGAACUUUGGCCUGCAAUGCAACAGGAAACCAACAGCAAACCAGCAUGCAGACCAGCAUCCAAGCUGAACCAGAUAAGCAACAGCAAUUUGUUUAUUUUGUUCAUUUGUAACUUGAUUUAGUUGCAAUGUAAUUUAUACUUAAAGUUAGUAGGAGUAGUUGUUGAUUUAUGUUUGAUGUUAUAGCCGGUAUGUCAGCUACAUUUUGUUUGUAAUUCUAUCUAGGCUUUA
rnacentral:lncRNA from 1 species